UGGAUAAGCAAAACUUGGAACAAACUAUAAACUAAUUAAAUGUGGGUUGCGUUUUCAAAAAAAUAAAUUGAAGCCAUAAGGAUGUGAUGUGAGCCAAUAAAUAGUACAGUUAGUCGAAGUUACUGUGGAAAGAUAGUUGAGAAAAGGGUUUGAAGUCACCGAUGAGGUGGGCUCCCAGGGAGCUUGGCUCCCUAUCAGUAGGAAGGCUUGUUCUCCUGCGCAUGAGAAUGGGAUCGAGUCUUCUGGUAUCUAUAGCCAGGACCCCAGAGAUGCUAUGGGGAGAAUACUAACCCAUUUUUAAGUAGAAGGAGGAAGGGGAAACUAUGCCAGAGGUGCACCACCACCCAUGCUGACCCCAAGCAGGGUGAAUGAGCAAGAAGCAAGCCCAAGUGCGAGGAGAUGGAAGCUCAGUGUGUUCACUAUGAGGGCAGAAGAACUUUGGAGCCGAAGCAGUGGCACAGGCAGGCGAUUUGCCCUGCUGCAGGGCUGAAUGAAAAUCUUCGGUUCUCAAAUCCUCUCUGCUAUGCUGUAUGGUGACAAUCCAACACCAGAUGGGCUUCAGCAAAGGCACUCGGUGUGAGGUGAAAAGGCGCUGCCCAGCUGCCUCCUGCACAGGAAGGCACCAGAAGAGGACCUGCUCAGGUCACCGCCAUGUGAGCUUCAGGUUAUGCUCCAUCUUUCAGGUUCCGUGUGGGCCCGUGGGCGGGAUGCUGGGUGCCAACUGGAGGUGUGGGUGCAGCACAGAGUGCUGGGCUCAGCCACGAGCCCUCUAUCUGCUCCCAGCUCAGGAGCGGGCUUUGCUCUGGGCUGUGGUCCAUGGCCAGUGACACGGCUCUGCAAUAACAGAGCUGCUCGUAAAAUUGUUAUGAGAACAAACAAAUUCCUUCCCUGUUAUUUACAGCACUCGUUUCUGCUCACUCACUGUCCCGGGUGAGGUCUUGUCCCCAUCACUCCUGAGCUGUCAUGGGCAGGAUGCGGCAGGGCAGUUCUUACAUCCCCAGUUUCCAGGGGAAGACGCGGGGCUGUGCAGCCUUCUGGCAGUGUCCUUUGUAAGCUGCCCAGCAGGACCCCGGAUUUCCUGCUUUAGGAGACCAAGUGGAGCUAGCAGACCCAAAAUCCCACUUCUUGCCCCUGUGAGGCUUCUCCAUGGACGGUGGCAGCGUGCACACAGCAGUGGGUUCAAGGGAGCAGCUCUGCCCUCAGGUCCUGCAUUGUCCCGUGUAACAAAUACUGUACUUGGCAGCGGGCGCGUGGAGCGAGGAGUGAGCCAGUAAUGUUUCCUGGUGAAUAGAAAGGGGUUGAUUUUGAUUGCAUUAGACAUCAGUGCUUCCCAGUGCCAAGAAGACGUGCAGUAUAAGUUUCUGGUGUGUUUGGACCUUCUUUAAACGGGCUGGAAACCGACUUACUCUACCGCUUAUUUUUUCUUCGUGAAAAUAACCCUUUAUAUGAAGUGUUUAGCAAAUAAUGCACAGUGCUAUUACAAGGUGAGUUGGGUAUGGAUUGUACAGGAAGACUUCUCAGAUCUCUUUCAGAUGCCUGAAUGACAUCACGAUCUAGCUUCACUCUGGGGAGACGAGCUCAGCCGAACGCCGUCUGUCCUGCUUUGGCCAUCUCUCCUGCUUUGGCCAUCUCCGAUGUUGCUGGUGUACCUCCUGCAAGUGACCUGCAUGGCAGCGCAGUGACCUCGUGCUGCUUUGGGACUCAGGGAUGUUUCAUGGGAGGAUUCCUUCGAGUAAGAAAACUGCUUGCUAAUUGUACCUGAGGUUGCAGAGCUCAGCAGAACCCCAUCCAAAACAAUGGGGAGGGCACUCCGCACUGUGCAGCUUUGGAAGGACUCUGAGCACCAGGUGAGGUAAAGCAAUGCCUCCAUCAGGCACUGCUGGGUGUAUGCACCAUGGCUCUUCCAGGAGCUCUUCUUGUUGGUGCUACGGACACCGUUCUGGCCAUGAAUGCUGGUUUGCACAAAGUGAAGUUGAAGUGAGGAUGGAGCAAUGUGGAUCAGGUGAAAUGGCCUUGCACUGCUUUGUUUGCUUGGUUUUUUUCUCUCUGUCUUUGAAACAGUCAUUGAUACCUGACAGUAUUCUUCUACUUCUGAGCCCAUUUAGCUGUGCAUGUAUCAUGGAGUCAUAGAAUGUAACCUGUGCAAAAUCAUCAGCCAAGGCAGCUCUGGGGGAAGACCCCAGAUCCCCAUAACCCGCUGGGCACCUCAGCCCAAACCAAGCUGCAUUGGGGUGGCUGGGCUAAUGGACUGAGGUGGGGGCUGCCUGCAUCCAAAGAUGCCACCAGCAUUGCCCACCGGUGACAGGUCAGGACAGAAGAUGCCUGCAGGGGCAGGGGGAGAGCAGAUUUUUCAAGAUGAAAUCACGGAGUUCAAUGCUCAUAAACAAUUUUAGCAGCUCUGCCAGUGCCUCCACUGACCUGGGACUUGGCAGGGUGAAGCAAUGUGUUGGCACUGGGCUGAGUUAGCGCGGCCCCUGUGAAAGGCACCCUGUGAUGAAUGGGAUUCACAUGCUGCAUCCUUGGAGGCAUCCAGAUUGCAGCCCUGGAGCUGCUUUGGGCCCAGCUUGUUGUAAGUCACUGCAGAUCCAACAACAGAAGAAAAAGCUGCAAGUUGGCUACAGACAUUGCUCUGCCUUUGGCUACGGUAAUCCAAGAAAAAGUACUGCACAGCUUUUUUGUUGUUGUUGUUUUUAGAAUUCUCAUCAUAUUAUGGCCGGUAAUUAUCUUUGUAUAUGCUUCACAGGCUCUGCAGGAACCUGGAUCUCUGUGGGUAGCUGGAAGUGCAACUUAAAGAUAUUAUCCAAAUAGGUAAACGUGUCAGAAACAUUAUCUGGGUCACAUUUGGGCAACAGGGUUUGCUCUAUUUUAAGUGGAAAUGGUUUGCUGAUGGUUUAGAUGAACUUCCUGAGGAGUUUGCAAUUCCUGGCACACGUUCGAUUUGCCAUCUGUUAGAAGGACUUUGAUGAGUUCACAAAGAGACAUUCGACCGGAGCUGCUCUGAGUAUUUUGGGUGGACUUUUGUGAUGGACCAGUUUGCGUUGGUUGGGUUUGCAUUGCUGCAGCUCCCUGGGUGCUGGAGGGAGCAGGGCUGAGCUCUGGGGUGGGACGCACUGAUAGCUUCCCACCAGUGCACUGCCAUCAACACAUUCCAGCGCUGCCUGUUCUUUAUGUCUGCUAAUGUUGUUGUGUAACAUUGAGCUUUGCCUUCAUUUAGGCCAGAUCUAGCCGUCAUAAAAUGCUCUGUGCUGUCAGAGGGAACUUCAACUCGAGGCUAGCAUGGAUACAGAUGUGAAAAUCUUGCUUUUCCUAAAGCGUCUCUCAUAUAGCACGUAAGUAGGUAAGCUGGUCUGCUCCCUGUGCCCCUGGUGGGAAUGUCUGCCACCACCUCCAACCAGCACCAAGUGCCUUUUGACAUAUUAAAGACACAACAGGAACCAGGCUCCCCGGGGGAUGCUUGUACCCUGAGGCUAUUUGGGGGAGGAUGAUUAAUUCUGCUGCUUAUGGCUCUGUGUCACUUCCCUCUGUAUGGCCAAGGAUCUUGUCUGCUCUCGUGCAAUGGCUGGGGCUAAUUUUGGGAUAGAUUUAGCGUGGAAAAAAUACUUGAGGCAGCGAGACAGCAGCUGAUUCAGUCUCCUCCAGGCUGGACACUGGUGUUCAGAUGCUCCCAGGCAGUGAGUUCUCCAACAACAUCAGGCAGAUGUCCCUAGUCAUGUCCGUCAUGUCCCAGCUGUGCUCCAUGGCUGAGCCAGACCCUUGGCUGAUGGGACACUGCCGCUCGUUCUUCAUGAGCACAGGCACUCUGGUGUGGGAUGGCUGAAGUCAGGAGGGACUGGAGAUAGCAUCUCCACCCCCAGCGUUGCUGCAAGGACCGCACAUGCAGCUUUGACCACUUCAGGAAUCCCAGGCAAGGCACGGCGUUGCAAUGGUUAGUGGGGCUCUGCAAAGUGACACCCAGCACCAGCUCUCCAUUGCAGUUUGUUUCUGCUGAUAGCCGCAAAUCGCACACUGGAAAUGUUGAAAAGGCUUUUCCCCUUUAAAUCUUGACUCCAGCUGUAAAUGAUCCUGUAUACUCAAGGGCAGCACUUCGGUGAAGGUAUGUUCCCAGACCUUCCUGAGUCCACGUGGGCAGUAGUCAGAGGGAAGGUUGCAGGGCACAACUGGAUACACUAAUUGCCCCACAGAGGAGAGGCAUUUGCUGUGGUAUAAAUCAGCUGCCUCUUGUCAGGCGUGUUCCUGGCUUAUCAAGGGGAAGCAAAACACUGCAGUGCAAGAGCUCCAGGAAAGGCAGUGUCCUGGAGCAGUGUAAUUGGUGGGAGCAGGGGCUGCGGAGGCGAUUAUAAGAUAAGAGGGCUCUCCCACUUCUCCUAAAAGCUUGACAGCUACCAGCAGCUGGCAGGAGCAUUUCAGCCCUAUAUGGGCUCUCAUUAAAAGAACCAAAUGGAGAAAAGAAACACGACUCUGAUGGACCUUUCAGAGCCUCUCUGGAGGCAGGAUCACAGUGGUCUUGUCCUUGCAGCCACCCCACUGAUUCUCUCUGAAGAUCCCUAAGAAAAUGCUUACCCAGAGUUGUGGUCCAGCACUGAGAAGAAGUUGUAGCUCUGCCCCGUAAGGCAGGCAGCCAUCACUGGUGUCGUCUCCCUGUGAAUUGGGCCUCUUCCUGCGUGAGGCUUUCACUUGGCACAUGGUGCGAAGCAUUAGAUGUGGAAAGAGCAAAGUGUGUGGGAGCUGCUGAUUUCAUCUCUUUGGUGGGACUGGGUUUUUUUUAAUAACAAGAUGAGAUGUGGCACUUCCCUGAAAACAUGACAAUCCAUGGGAGAGUUCGUUAGUUUAUGGCAAGUUGCAACUGCGUGGAAGCUGUCUGGAAGCAGAUGUUACUGUGGACUUAUCGAUAAGGGAAGAGGAAAACGUGUCCUAAGGAAAUGACCUUGAUGGAGUAACAUAGAGCUGUAUAGACAAGCAAUAGAGUUGAAUGCUUCCUCAGAACAAUAGCUUCUUGUUAACCGUUUUUAAUGCCAAUGAUUGCUCUCUGCCUAUUUAGAGAAUGCGUGGGACACAUCUGCUCAGGACUUCAUCUGUAAGAGGACUAACAAAUAACUGUGACUUCAGCUGACAGAACCUUUUUACCACCAGUACACAAAAAUGUCUUUGUGAUCAUGGAGACAUCCAAGGACGGGUUGGAUGGGGCCCUGGGCAUCCUGAUCUGGUGGCUGGCAGUCCUACCUAUGGCGGAGAGGUACGAUCUAGAUAAUCUUUAUGGUCUUCUCCAAUCUAAGCCAUUCUAUCAUGUUAUGACCGUCAUCCAAUACUGGUAACAACAUUAAGAGCAAAAAUUGGCUUUAGCUUCUUUAGAAAAGUGCAUUUUAUUUUCAAGUGCUAUGGAAUUAUAUGUCUAAGAGAACUUUUCUCUGUGAACUUAAUUUAGGUGGACACUGCUGGUUUUCUUACUCUUGAGUGUAUCUAGCUUGUAUCAGUGGCAGAAAAUGCAGUUCCAGGUUUGCUGAAGGUGAAUUCAGGAUAAUCCAUCAUGCUUCUUGCUGAGCCUCUUGCCAGUCACAACACUGCAGAGGAUUCUGGUUUUACAGCAUCAGGGCUUUCCCUGUGUUUUUCCCUUUACUGGGGAAUAUGUUGCUCCAAAGUCCAAGCAAAACAAGAUGUUUCUUGAGAAGCCUUGUUGCAGCCAGCCCUGCUGCCAUGGUGGGUAGCACUCAGUUCCACACACUCCAUGGCUUGGGAGAAGGGCUCUGCUCUUUUCUGCUCCGGAUCAGUCCUGGUCUGCUGCUUGGACUCCAUUCUGCAUAUGCAUGUAUCUGCCUGUGAAGCAGAGAGUGACCCUUCGUCAUCUUCCUCUCCUUUGUCCUCUCACUCAUUCAUGCUUGACCCUAGGUUUCUGUCUCUGAAUUGUUGUUUGCUGUGGUGUGAUCCUGAUAGCUCCCCUGCCUGAGAAGCUUGCUGGCAUUUCGGUGACAGUGCAGGCCCCAGUUUUAGCUCUGGUGACCUUAGAAAUGGGAGACCAACUUCUUGAAUGAGAUGCCUGAGGAGCCUGGGAUAGGUCAGAGAGGUCUUGAAUGGAUCAGAAGCCACAGAUGUUUCUCUGACAGCCCUGGGUCUCCCAGUCAUGAUUUACGAAUUAUGUACAGUCUAUAUGUUGAGCAAAAGAGGCUCAGUGGGGAAACAGAAACUGGUUUGUGCAACCAGGAAAGAGCAUGCAGCUUCAGAAAUCCACCGUCCAACAAGAGAUACCAUCUCCAGCUCUUUGUGGAGCCAUCAGGGUGCCACGUGGGAAGCAGUGAAAUUGAUGGCAGAAAACAUCAGGAUGUGGUAACGGGCCAUCACUUUAAUGGAAGAUGGUUACAGGAAAACAGAGACCAAACCUGAAAGCUGUGGACUCAAAGCAGCACAUGUAAUUUUCCCUCUCUGAGAAGCUGGAUGUUGGAUUAUGAGCUAGCUACGAUCCAUGCCAUGGGGCACUGAGUUGUGUGGCCAUAGCCUGGUGAGAGGAGAAGGGUGACCAUCUCCUGAGCUGAGCAGGCAGGAGGCCUGUGCUCCCGUCCAGCUCCGGGCAGAGACAACUUAAAAUGCAAUGAAGAAGUGGGAAUGGCAUUGGAUAGUGAUGUGAGGAUAGAAUAGGCCUCUCUUGUACCACGUCCUGAGGUACGACCACAAGCCAUGAGGGAACAUAAUUGCUGAAAUUCCUGGGUAGAUGUUCCCCUAGAAAAAGUCCUAAUCAUAAAUUUGAAGGCCAGAGCAUUGCAGUGUGCACAGUGCAGUAACCCCAUAUCCAACCUGUGACUUUUGGAUGGGCCGUGGUCUGUCUAGGAGAUAGUCUUGCAGUUGUCAAAGGCUUUGAGCAACAAAAACCUACUGCAUUCCAAGUCUGAGUAAUUACCUGCUGGAAUAACUUUGCUGUGUUGUGAUCUAACACAAAAGCACCUAGUUUCAGCUUCCAGCAUGUGAAUCUUGUUUCUCCUUUGCCUGAUGCAAGAGAAAUCCCUCUGCCAGAAAGAAACUCUCUGGGAACUUUUUGUGGACAAUGACUAUCUCACCUCCCAGCUCUCUCUGCAUCAGCUAAAGGCAGCAAAAUCUGUGAGCCUCCUCUGCUGUAGCACAGGUUUUUCCAUCCUGAAUGAUCCUUGCAUUUUUUGCUGGAGGUAGGAGGUGAAAAGGGGAAUCAGGGAAAUCCAUGAGCUGAAAUUUCAUCCGUUUCUUAGGCUACAGACUUUUUUCCAUUGCAUAUGGACCAAAGAAGUCAGAUACACUGUUUGAUGGCCAUGCUGGUGAUUGAAGGGUUGGGGAUGGCCAAUGUGGAGCCCAUAGUUGUGUCUCAGCAGCCCUGGAGUGACUCCUUAGAGAAUAAUAGUCUCUGAGGACACUCAGUUGCCGCUGAGGGAUCUUUUCCAGGAUAACCAGACACCAUCCGGCCAUUUUGUCUAUGGUAAUUCCUAAAUCUCUAUGCUAAGAGGAGCUGCUUUACUGCCGUCACCAAGCCACUGCUGUUGCUCUUAGCAGGGAGGCUGGAUGACCAUGGGGAUUUGCUGCUGGAAGAACAACCAGAUGUGUAUUUUCAGCCAUUUUGGGGAACUUGCGUUCCCUCCUCUCUCAAUGUCAAAGCAAAGUGGGCCCUCAGGGUGCUUUUACUGUCACAGAAUUACUGUAGUGUUGAUAUUAACACUAUAGUCGAUGGAUGGGAGGUAGCUCCAGUAAACAUAUAUCAUUGUUGAGCGAAAUCAGAGAGAGAGCGCCUUGGCUUAUUAUUUUUUCCCCAUACCGAGACAGACUCUGUCAUCGUAUCAUUCACGUAACCUUUCAGAUGAACUUAGUAAUCAUGAUAUGUUUUGGUUUGGCUUCUUUCAGAUUAAAACCCUGCCUUUUAGAAAAAGGAAACCAUAAGUUAAAUAACUCCAAAAUUAGGUAUUUCUGAAGGAUAAUUAGUGGUCUUCUCUCUUACCAAAAACAACCCAAGGCUGUGCUUUAAAUAACGCCUCGCAGUAAUUCCUUCGGUGCUGCUCCAAAUGUGAUUAAUUUAGCAGGAUGUUAUCAGUAUAGCAUCCUACACUUCAACUCAUACUUCAGGGUAUUAUCUGCAGUAAGACUGCUAUGUAUUUCUGCAACAUUUUGAAAGCUGGCCUGACCUUAUGUUGUAAAUCCCCCCUGCGUGGGGCUCUCUGCUUCAGAAGUCGCAGCAAGAGUUGAGUUUGCUGGAAGGAAAUUACCAACCAGCUGUAUUCUUUCAUUCCCCAUUUCUGUAGAUAGGGGGACCCAUGGAAAGUGAACGUGGACACAGAUCCCUGCCCCCCGUUGUUUCAAUUGGAUGCAAAUAUACAGGCACUAUGAUCCCAGCGCUUCAUUGCUUUGAGCAAAAAGCAGUUUCGGUUGCAUUGGAAAUUCUGUCCCAAGGGGAACGGGUCUGUAUUUGGAAAAGGGCUCGCUGCAAAAAGCGAGCAAAUAUAUGUAAAUAUAUACUAUAUAGGGUUAUAUGUGUGUAUACACAUACAACGGUGCUGUAUAUACAGAACGGCACGCACACAUACUUAGGAGAUGUGUAUAUAACACUCGCUCAUAUACAAAUCUACUCCCUGUUAUGAAACAAUCAUCGGGAUAUAAACAAGAGACUUUAAACCUCAGAUGGGCACGUUUUCAAGUGCUGCUGGAGGGUUUUAUCUGCAGUCCUGAAGAAGUGCUAUCAAAACCUAAACAGGGUACUCAUUACAAAGAAAUCUUUACGUAAGUGCUGGAAAGAUUUGCCGAAGAACCAGAUGUUGUUGCAAGGACAGCUCUCCUCCCCCUCCCCACUUCUUUCCAUCUUUAAUAGUUCGAUUAAUGCUGCACAUAAACCCGGGCUGAUAAAACUUCACCACAUCUGGACACUGUUGGAGCCAGAUCAUUUCACGGUGCACUUUGGUCGCUUUUAAUCUUCCUCGAUAAAGUAAAAGCUUCCACCGAGUCACGCUGACCGACGUACAGACUUCUGCACUGUAAACACUGACAUCUGGGAGCUGCUCUCGGCGAGCACGCAGCGGUCUCCACCGAGCCAAGCGCUCGCCCUUCUCCGUAAGAGGAACACACAGCUGAUGCUAUCAGAGCAGCACUGCGAUCAGAUCACUGCGAAGCUCUCCACUGCUCCCAACCCUCCACCUAAUUGCUGUCAGGGGAGAAGUCAACAAUUUGCUGUUUUUCUGGAGGAAGGAAAGCUAAACGACCUCUCUGCUUAACAGUGCCCAAGUAGAAACGUUUCUGUACUCACAGAAGGACAGCAGCAGCAAGGAAAGCAGACCCGGUCUCCUCCGGCAACCCAUUUUCUGGAUCCAGAAGCCUGGUUUCAAGCUGUUGACCCAUCCAUCCUUCUUCCUCUCCGAUGUCAACCCCACAGCCCCGAAUUCAUGAGGCUGCUGGCUGGGAAGGCGGAUCCAGGCGCAGCGAGCCCAGCUGUGCGUGGGGUCCGCCCAGGAACUGCAGCUCAUGAACAAACUCAGCCCAGCUCUCCUCGUGAAAUAUAUACAAAUAUGGGAGGGGGGGAGCUGGGGGAAGAGCUCUGGCUCUGGGAAAAUUUGGUUUUUCCAACUGUGGAAUUGAGCUGCUCUGAGCAGCCCAGGGAGCUGUGGAGGAGACCUUGUGUCUACUGCAGGCAUCUAACCAGAGUGGCAUGGGCAUGGCCACAGACCUCUUCCAUCUGAAUAAAACACGGCAAGAAACUCUUCAGUACUCUGAGCUGCCAUUAAUUCACUGAUUUUUCCCCUUUUAGAAAUCAGCUCUACCUUAUAAGUAAACUACAAUGGGAUAGAGUAUACGGCAGCUUCUACAGAAAGAUGGCAUCACUAUGAGUUCAGCCUAAAGUAGGUGCUUCCAAACCCGUGUAUCCUGAUACAUUUUCCUGAAUCAAGAGCCUAGAAUAAUAACACAGAGCAUUGAAAUAGCUUCUUUCACCCCAAGACCUCAAACUUGCUUUACCAAAAAAAAAAAGAAAAGAAAAA